rnacentral:rRNA from 1 species
UACGUAGGGUGCAAGCGUUGUCCGGAAUUAUUGGGCGUAAAGAGCUUGUAGGCGGUCUGUCGCGUCUGCUGUGAAAAUCCAGGGCUCAACCCUGGACCUGCAGUGGGUACGGGCAGACUAGAGUGCGGUAGGGGAGAUCGGAAUUCCUGGUGUAGCGGUGAAAUGCGCAGAUAUCAGGAGGAACACCGGUGGCGAAGGCGGAUCUCUGGGCCGUAACUGACGCUGAGGAGCGAAAGCAUGGGGAGCGAACAGG